rnacentral:tRNA from 1 species
CAGGGGAUAUUUUAUAUAAAAUAUUAGUUUUGGGGAUUAAUGAAAUGGAUUUAACCUUUCCUCUGA